UACGUAGGGUGCAAGCGUUGUCCGGAAUUAUUGGGCGUAAAGAGCUCGUAGGCGGUUUGUCGCGUCUGCUGUGAAAACCCGAGGCUCAACCUCGGGCCUGCAGUGGGUACGGGCAGACUAGAGUGCGGUAGGGAGAUUGGAAUUCCUGGUGUAGCGGUGGAAUGCGCAGAUAUCAGGAGGAACACCGAUGGCGAAGGCAGAUCUCUGGGCCGUAACUGACGCUGAGGAGCGAAAGCCAGGGAGGCAAACGGG
rnacentral:rRNA from 1 species